rnacentral:tRNA from 1 species
UCUAUCAUGGCAGAAUAGUGCAAAAGACUUAAAAUCUUCAUAUAGAUUCAUAAUCUUUUUAGAA